GGAGGCGGGGCGGAGGCCCGGGGCCAGAGAGCGAGCCGAGGCGCCGAGCGGAGGGUGACCCGGCCUUUGCAGGCGAGGGACUCGGCCGGCCGUGCGCUCCCGCUUCGCAGCUUCCGCGCGCCCCAUGGGGUCCCCGGGCCUGGGCGCGCCCUCGCCGGCGCUCUGCCUGCUGCUGGCCUGCGUCUGGCUGCCCCGGGGCUUAGCACCCACACCCCAGGGCAACGCAGAGCUGCAGCCUGACCCAGCCCAGGAUCCCAGCCACAGACAGCAGGAGGUGUCCCUUGCCAUAAAGGAUGCUACAACAGUGAUGGGAAGCCAGGUAAGAGGAGGCCUGGGGAAGGGGGGCUUCACUGGGCAGGGGCUUAUUUCUGUCUGGGACCGGGGCUGAC
rnacentral:lncRNA from 12 species